UUCAGGCAUGUAGAAUUAACAAAUGACAUCGUUUGGAGAAUAGAGGGAUUCAGAGGAUAACAGUUCAACAGCUAUGGCAGAAAGUAACCUCCCAACAACGGAAGAAGAACUGGAGGUGAAAAAUGAGUUUCCAGCUACAGCAACAGAGGAAAGUCAAGUUACGUCAAGUGAUGCUGAACUGGAUGUAUACAAUGACCCUUUAAGUGGUAAGAACACCGGCUGAAACAAGAUUUUUUUGAAAGACGCCCCAGUGAAGUUUUUGUCACAUUUAGAUCAAAAUUUGCGUAGGUUCUGUGAAUAAGUUU